GACGGAGGGUGCGAGCGUUGUUCGGAUUGACUGGGCGUAAAGGGCGUGUAGGCGGUCGGCCAAGUCUGGUGUGAAAGCCCGGGGCUCAGCUCCGGAAGUGCGCCGGAAACUAGCUGGCUGGAGCGCGGUAGAGGAGGGGUGGAAUUCCUGGUGUAGCGGUGAAAUGCGUAGAUAUCAGGAGGAACACCGGCGGCGAAGGCGGCCCUCUGGACCGUUGCUGACGCU
rnacentral:rRNA from 1 species